rnacentral:rRNA from 1 species
UACGUAGGGUCCAAGCGUUGUCCGGAUUUAUUGGGCGUAAAGAGCUCGUAGGCGGCUUCGUAAGUCGGGUGUGAAAACCCCAGGCUCAACCUGGGGAGGCCACUCGAUACUGCGGUGGCUUGAGUCUGGUAGGGGAUCUCGGAAUUCCUGGUGUAGCGGUGAAAUGCGCAGAUAUCAGGAGGAACACCAGUGGCGAAGGCGGAGAUCUGGGCCAGUACUGACGCUGAGGAGCGAAAGCGUGGGGAGCGAACAGG